rnacentral:rRNA from 1 species
UACGUAGGGUGCAAGCGUUGUCCGGAAUUAUUGGGCGUAAAGAGCUCGUAGGCGGUCUGUCGCGUCUGCUGUGAAAACCUGGGGCUUAACCCCGGGCCUGCAGUGGGUACGGGCAGACUAGAGUGCGGUAGGGGAGACUGGAAUUCCUGGUGUAGCGGUGAAAUGCGCAGAUAUCAGGAGGAACACCAAUGGCGAAGGCAGCUCGCUGGGACGGUACUGACGCUGAGACGCGAAAGCGUGGGGAGCAAACAGG